rnacentral:rRNA from 1 species
AUUGGACAUGGAGGCAACUCUGAUCCAGCGAUGCCGCGUGAAGGAAGACGGCCCUAUGGGUUGUAAACUUCUUUUAUACAGGAAGAAACCUUUCCACGUGUGGAAAGCUGACGGUACUGUAAGAAUAAGGAUCGGCUAACUCCGUGCCAGCAGCCGCGGUAAUACGGAGGAUCCAAGCGUUAUCCGGAAUUAUUGGGUUUAAAGGGUCCGCAGGCUGUUUGUUAAGUCAGGGGUGAAAUCCUACCGCUCAACGGUAGAACUGCCUUUGAUACUGGCAAACUUGAGUUAUUGUGAAGUAGUUAGAAUGUGUAGUGUAGCGGUGAAAUGCAUAGAUAUUACACAGAAUACCGAUUGCGAAAGCAGAUUACUAACAAUAUACUGACGCUGAGGGACGAAAGCGUGGGUAGCGAACAGGAUUAGAUACCCUGGUAGUCCACGCCGUAAACGAUGGUCACUAGCUGUUCGAUGUACAUUGGUACAUUGAGUGGCUAAGCGAAAGUGAUAAGUGACCCACCUGGGGAGUACGCUCGCAAGAGUGAAACUCAAAGGAAUUGACGGGGGCCCGCACAAGCGGUGGAGCAUGUGGUUUAAUUCGAUGAUACGCGAGGAACCUUACCAGGACUUAAAUGUAAGUUGCAUGAUUCAGAAAUGGAUCUUUCUUCGGACUACUUACAAGGUGCUGCAUGGUUGUCGUCAGCUCGUGCCGUGAGGUGUCAGGUUAAGUCCUAUAACGAGCGCAACCCCUAUCGUUAGUUGCCAUCAAGUAAAGUUGGGAACUCUAGCGAAACUGCCGGUGCAAACCGUGAGGAAGGUGGGGAUGACGUCAAAUCAUCACGGCCCUUACGUUCUGGGCUACACACGUGCUACAAUGGCCGGUACAGAAAGCAGCCACUAUGCGAAUAGGAGCUAAUCUUCAAAGCCGGUCUCAGUUCGAAUCGCAGUCUGCAACUCGACUGCGUGAAGCUGGAAUCGCUAGUAAUCGGAUAUCAGCCAUGAUCCGGUGAAUACGUUCCCGGGCCUUGUACACACCGCCCGUCAAGCCAUGGAAGCUGGGGGUACCUAAAGUCGGUGACCGAAAGGAGCCGCCUAGGGUAAAACUAGUAACUGGGGCUAAGUCGUAACAAGGUAGCCGUACCGGAAGGUGCGGCUGGAAUACCUCCUUUCU